rnacentral:rRNA from 1 species
AGAGAGAGACAUGCGCGCAUAUCAAUAAGCGGAGGAAAAGAAACUAACUAGGAUUCCCUCAGUAACGGCGAGUGAAGCGGGAAGAGCUCAAAUUUGAAAUCUUCAAGGUUCUACCUUGACGAAUUGUAGUUUAAAGAAGUGUUUUCUGUUGGAGUUUUGGUAAAAGUUCUUUGGAAUAGGACAUCAUAGAGGGUGAGAAUCCCGUAUUUGACCAUUAUUUCCAGCUUUGUGAUACACUUUCAAAGAGUCGGAUUGUUUGGGGAUGCAGUCCAAAAUGGGUGGUAAAUUUCAUCUAAAGCUAAAUAUUGGCGAGAGACCGAUAGCGAACAAGUACCGUGAGGGAAAGAUGAAAAGAACUUUGAAAAGAGAGUUAAACAGUACGUGAAAUUGUCAAAAGGGAAGCGUUUGACACCAGUGUUGUUUACUCGAAAAUCAAUUAAAAAAGGCAGGAUUUUGUGUUGUAUUGACUUUAUCAGCUUUCUGCACUCUUUUCUUGUCUUUUUUAAUGCACUUUUCGUUUAACAAGUCAACAUCAAUUUCUUUUGUUGUAAAAGGGUCAUUGGAAGGUGGCUUUCUUUUCGGAGAAAGUGUUUAUAGCCUUUGGCCUCUGCAAUCGGAGAGAUUGAGGUCUGCAGCGUAGAUCCUUCGGGGUUAGAUACAUUUGUGCUAAGUUAUAGCCUUUCAUAGACAACUUGUUGACUAUGAUCAGUCAUGUAGCUUACUCGCUUAUGUUAUUUUACCUACGCUUAGGAUGUUGAUGUGAUACUGCGAGCA